GAAAUGCGAUAAGUAAUGUGAAUUGCAGAAUUCAGUGAAUCAUCGAAUCUUUGAACGCACAUUGCGCCCGCCAGUAUUCUGGCGGGCAUGCCUGUUCGAGCGUCAUUUCAACCAUCAAGCCCCGCGCUUGUGUUGGGGACCUGCGGCUGCCGCAGGCCCUGAAAACCAGUGGCGGGCUCGCUGUCACACCGGGCGUAGUAGAUUUUAUCUCGCUCAGGGCGUGCUGCGGGUUCCGGCCGUUAAAAAGCCUUUUUUACCAAAGGUUGACCUCGGAUCAGGUAGGAAGACCCGCUGAACUUAAGC
rnacentral:misc_RNA from 1 species